GCCCUGUCUGUCUCGCAACCCUUCCUUUUUCUAUCGCAGUAGCAGCCAUGAGCAUGCUCAGGCUUCAAAAGAGGCUUGCCUCCAGCGUCCUGCGCUGUGGCAAGAAGAAGGUAUGGCUGGACCCCAACGAGACCAAUGAGAUUGCUAACGCCAACUCCCGCCAGCAGAUCCGUAAACUGGUAAAGGAUGGUCUUAUCAUCCGCAAGCCUGUCACGGUGCACUCUCGCGCCCGCUGCCGCAAGAACAC